rnacentral:tRNA from 13 species
GAAGUGGCUCAGUUUGGUAGAGCACCUGGUUUGGGACCAGGGGGUCGCAGGUUCGAAUCCUGUCUUCC